ACUACGGGAGGCUGCAGUGAGGAAUAUUGGUCAAUGGGCGAGAGCCUGAACCAGCCAAGUCGCGUGAGGGAGUACUGCCCUAUGGGUUGUAAACCUCUUUUGUCGGGGAGCAAAAGCCGGACGUGUCCGGCUGUGAGAGUACCCGAAGAAAAAGCAUCGGCUAACUACGUGCCAGCAGCCGCGGUAAUACGGAGGAUGCGAGCGUUCUCCGGAUUUUUUGGGGUUAAAGGGGGCGCAGGCGGAUUUUUACGUCAGCGGUCAAAUCGUGGGGCUCAACCCCCACCGGCCGUGGAAACUGGUGGUCUAGGGUGUGCGAGAGGUAUGCGGAAUGCGUGGUGUAGCGGUGAAAUGCAUAGAUAUCACGCAGAACCCCGAUUGCGAAGGCAGCAUACCGGUGCACAACUGACGCUCAGGCACGAAAGCGUGGGUAUCGAACAGGAUUAGAUACCCCUGUAGUC
rnacentral:rRNA from 1 species